UAGCAUAUCAAUAAGCGGAGGAAAAGAAACUAACAAGGAUUCCCCUAGUAACUGCGAGUGAAGCGGGAAAAGCUCAAAUUUAAAAUCUGGCGGUCUUUUGGCUGUCCGAGUUGUAAUCUAGAGAAGUGUUAUCCGCGUUGGACCGUGUACAAGUCUCCUGGAAUGGAGCAUCAUAGAGGGUGAGAAUCCCGUCUUUGACAUGGACUGCCAGGGCUUUUGUGAUGCGCUCUCGAAGAGUCGAGUUGUUUGGGAAUGCAGCUCAAAAUGGGUGGUAAAUUCCAUCUAAAGCUAAAUAUUGGCGAGAGACCGAUAGCGAACAAGUACCGUGAGGGAAAGAUGAAAAGAACUUUGGAAAGAGAGUUAAACAGUACGUGAAAUUGCUGAAAGGGAAACGCUUGAAGUCAGUCACGUUGUCCAGGGAUCAACCUUGCUUUUGCUUGGUGCACUUCCUGGUUUGACGGGUCAGCAUCAAUUUUGACCAUUGGAAAAAGGUCAAGGGAAUGUGGCAUCCUUGGAUGUGUUUAUAGCCCUUGGUCACAUACAAUGGUUUGGGAUUGAGGAACUCAGCAUGCCGCAAGGCCGGGUUAUUAACCACGUACGUGCUUAGGAUGCUGACAUAUAUAAUGGCUUUAAUCGACCCGUCUUGAAACACGGACCAAGGAGUCUAACAUGCCUGCGAGUGUUUGGGUGGAAAACCCGAGCGCGUAAUGAAAGUAAAAAGUUGAGAUCCCUGUCGUGGGGAGCAUCGAUGCCCGGACCAGACCUUUUGUGACGGUUCCGCGGUAGAGCAUGUAUGUUGGGACCCGAAAGAUGGUGAACUAUGCCUGAAUAGGGUGAAUCCAGAGGAAACUCUGGUGGAGGCUCGUAGCGAUUCUGACGUGCAAAUCGAUCGUCAAAUUUGGGUAUAGGGGCGAAAGACUAAUCGAACC
rnacentral:rRNA from 1 species